rnacentral:rRNA from 1 species
UACGUAGGGUGCAAGCGUUGUCCGGAAUUAUUGGGCGUAAAGAGCUCGUAGGCGGUUUGUUGCGUCGGCUGUGAAAACCUGAGGCUCAACCUCAGGCCUGCAGUCGAUACGAGCAGACUAGAGUGUUGCAGGGGAGACUGGAAUUCCUGGUGUAGCGGUGAAAUGCGCAGAUAUCAGGAGGAACACCGGUGGCGAAGGCGCCACUCUGGGCCGGUACUGACGCUGAGGAGCGAAAGCGUGGGGAGCAAACAGG